ACCUGGGAAAAGUAAAGCACUGAUUUAGGGGAUAUAGGUCUAUAAAAAAGUGACUCUGAAGAGGCUUCCAGAGCUGAAUGGAAAGGAGGAAGAGUGAAGCUUCACUUCUCACCAAAGCAAUCAAACCUAAGGCAGCCUUGAGGAUGGCUAAAACACACAUACCAAAAACUCAAAUGAGGUUAUCACACUGCUGGUUCGCCAAUUUUUGUACUGUUUUUCAUAAUGUGUGAAUAAUGCUUUGUCCCACGUCACUUUUGCAUGACAGCUGAUCCUACUCCCAAUCCCUAUUUUGUAAAUUCUAGGCCAAGACAGUAGCUAAGACCAAAUGAUUCCUUCAACUCUAUGAACUUGUAUUUUCCAGGCCCCUCAGCUGGAGAACACUCUCCACCUCAUAUUAUUUUGCUCACACCUGAGAUCUGUACUGGAGGCCUCAUAGGGCAAGUGUGCCAAGAAUCAUGUGACGCAAGAGAUUAUAUUCUAAUAUGGUCGACUAUAUAAGGUUUUUGGAGUGACGAACCCAUGUUUGGUUACUGGAAGGGCCAGGACCAAGACUUAAUGAUUUGCAAAUGACCCACAGGAUCUGUGCAAGGGCACUUUCGGAGCACUCACCUGCCCCUGCAUGUUCAUGAUGACCACUGUAUUCGAUCUGUUGCACACCACGAAGUGCUCUGGAUUUUUAGGAAGCAGGAUCACACUGUUGACAGUGAUAUCUGUCCCUGCAGUGCUGCCCAAAGAUUUAAAGGUAUUUGAACAUUCUGUGGUCUUCAUAUUCCAGAUCUAUGACACAAAAAUUCAAGGGAUAAACAUUUUUUGGGUAUAAGAAUGUCUAAAGUUUUGGGGUUAUAAAAAUGAAAAUUUGAUUACUAAAAUCAAAUAAAACUGACUCAAAAAAGCUUCUUGAUUUUUAGUCCUAUCAAAUACCUAGCUUUGCCAUAUACAUAGUAAGUAAGCUGUUACCAUCUGUUUGCUGAUUAAUGGGUACCAACAAAAGUCACAAAGCUAUUUAAUAAAACCUUUUAAAACCUAUCUUUUCUUACAAAAUUCUCCUAAUUGAACUACAUAUCUUUAAAAUUAGUUAUGUGUCAACCCUGCUACUGUUAACCAGAAAGCUAGCCUCCUCUGGACAUCAAAUCAAAUGUGGGCUUUUAGAAUUAGAUGCUUGGGACCCUAUCCUGCGACUGUAAUUUGACAGCUCUAGGGCUGUCUAGGACAUAGGCAUGUCCAUUUUUAAACAGCUCCACAAAUGAUUCCAACGUACAGCUGGAACUGCUGAACAGAAGCCACAAUGUUGACACUCACACACGAGGAUCCACAAAGUGGAAGCCACUCUUGGCCACGCGUAUUAUCUCUCCCAGCCCAGCAUCUCUUUUGGUAAUAGUUCCCCACCCUAAUGCUUUUUUUCACCUUGCCCUUCUGGGCUGUUAUAAACUGAAGGGGUUAAAUCAGACAUCACAGUUAUUGAAAUCUGAGAUGUGCUCAGAGAAGGAAUGGACCAAAUAUUGCAUGGCACUGUCUGGACACCACUCACUCAAUGAGGUGUAUGUAUGUAUGUAUGUGUAUACAUUUAAAGUCUCAAAGGCAUGGACUAUGUUGUGUUUCCUUUGUGCUUUCAACAGAGCUUAGCAAAAAAUGGAUGUUGAAUACCUAUCAACAGGAGGAAAUUACUGCCCCAUUAACUGCCACAGUGUUUAUUUUCAUAAUAAACACAGUUAUCAUCUGCCCUAAUCUCCUCUCUAAAGCCUGGUUGCCUAGAAGAAAAAUGAACAUUUCAGGGAUCAAGAGUUCUAAGGCUUCCAGUGUUUUCUGUCCAAAAAGUCAGUGAGAUGCUUACCCAACUCACUGAAGGACUAAAGGAAAAGACCACAAAACAAAGCUAAAUAGGCCACCUCCCACUGGCAUUUUACAGACUGUAAGGCCCAUAUUCAAAGCAUAAAGAGGGCAAAUCCCAUGACUAAAGUACUAAGAGCUCUGUAUAUUUCCCCAUCCGUCCUGAGAAAGACUUCUCCAAUCCUCAGGUUUCUGGUUCAAUUCCCAAGCCAGAACAAGCAAUUUCAGAGGGUGGUCUUUUAGGUAUUUGUGUUAAAACGUUUCAGUCUUCUGCCAAACUACACACUUACAUAAGGCAAUUUAAAAGCAGGUCCAGAAUGUAAAUGGAGUGUCUCAAAGAUCUCCAGCAAUUUUCUAUUUGGAUUUCUCAUCGUUUCUAGGAAUUGAGGCCUGCUAUUAAAAUAACUAAAUCUCUUAAGGUACUGAAGAUGCAUUACUUUCAGCUGAGCACUGAGGACAAUAAGUAAGUAUUUGAGAGAGGGCUUAGUUCCACUCUACACCUCUCCUGCCCUCUGUAAGUGCUGUCAGGAAGGCCCCUAAAUGUGGGGGGCCAGGCUGGGGUAGGGAGGCUGUGCAACAAAAAAGAGAUUUAUUCAUCUGGUCACUAAGCACUUUAUAAACUUGACUACUGUGGGUGAACCAUACCUUUAACAAGACAAUUUAACCACUAUACAUGGGGGAUGACUUACAUCCAGGCCUCCGUACCCUUCCUCUUUUCCUACAUAUGAUAAAUGUUUUGAUUAUGUAGAUUUGAAACUCCGGGUCCUUCAAUAGGGAUUCCCCAGAGAAUAUUACUAUUGUCUCAGACUCACCUCAUUUAUGGCUAAAACAGCUAGUAAAGAAGUUUACUCCAUCACAGUCAUCACCAUUAUCACCACUGAAAACUCUUCAAAGGACAAAAGCAGAAACCCCAAAAUAAACCAGGAGCAAAUACUUAACCUUUACAGUGCCAUCAGAGGAUGCACUAAUAAUAUAAUGUCCAUCUUGUGUAAAAGUUGCUUCAUUAACAAAGGAGGAAUGGCCACGAAAUUCCUUCAGGGUUUUCCCAGAUUUUAAA